AAUGGAGGCUAGCUCAGGGUGAAUGUUCCUCAGCAAAAGAAAAAGAAAAAAAAAAAAGCCGCAGAAAAGACACACACGAAGGAACAAAGAUGAGGAUGCCAGCAGACUUCUUGUCAAAAACUAUCCAAGUGCUAUUGAAUGUCCCCUCCAAAUUUAUGUGCUGAAACCUAAUCCCCAAGGCGAUGGAUAGGAAGUGGGGCCUUUGGAAGGUGAUUAGGCUGUGGGAUUAAUGCCCUUAGAAAAGAGGCUGCAGAGAGCUCCCUUGUCCCCUUCCAUCAUGUGAGGAAACCAGUCUGCAACCUGGGAGAGGGCCCUCACCAUACCCUGGUCAUGCCGGCACCAUGAUCUAGGGCUUCUAGCCUCCAGAACAAACACAGAAAAUUAGCAUAAGGAAAUGGGAGUGAUGCUGUAACAAAUACCUAAAAACGCAGAAGCAGCUUUGAAUGGGGUAGAGGCUGGAAGAGUUUUGAGGCUGAUGUUAGAAAAAAAGCCAAUGUUGCCUUGCUAAAGGUGAUUCUGGUGAGAGGUCAGAAAGAAAAGAGGAGAGCUGGGGAGAGCCUCCAUCUUCUUAGAGAACGCGAAUAAUGACAUACAGAAUUGCACCACAGAGAAAAGAUGAUCCUGGUCACAAAGUGGCAAUGAACUUGGCUGAAUUGUGUCUGUGUUCCAGUGUUCUGAGGAAGGUGGAAUUGCAAGCAUGAAAUCGGAUCCUUAGCUGAGGAGACUUCUAAGCAAAGUGUUGAAAGCGUGGCUUGGUUCCUCUUGACUGACUUUACCGACAUAGUAAAAUGCAAGAAGAGAGAAAUGAAUUGAAGAAAGAAUGAAGCAAAAAGGAACUAGAAAUUAAAAAUUUGGAAAAUUCUCAGGCUAUCCAUAUUCCCCCAAAAAUGAGAAAGCAAAUUUGGGGGAGGACACUGGAGGGUGCUGCCUGGCAACCAUUUGAUCAGGAGAUUUGCGUGGGUGUGAACACACGAGCCUAAUCAGCCACCCCAUGAGAACGCUGCCAGUUUAUGGGAUAGAACCAAGGCAGGCUGUUGAACUCAGAUUCUACAAGGCAGGACCACAAAGCUAUUUGGCUGUGAACUUGUGUUAUUCUUCAAGAAAAGGGAAGAAUGGCUCUGAAGGACAUUCAGAGAUCAGCAGGAUCACCACCUUUGUAAUUGAAGCUUUGGGGGCGGGGACCCCCCUGGAGCUGUGGCCAUCAAACGCCCACCUGGCAGAUCCCUGGGGUCUACUCUGAUGAAGAGAACCACCGCCUGGGUGGGGUCCCUGCAGAGGGCCCCAGUACGGGCACAGCCGCACUCAGCAGUGGCGGUGAUGUUGUAAUCCUACUGGGCCUGGAGGAUGCAGCAUUAAACCUACGAAGACUAUUCUUGUGCCUUAAGAUCCAAUGGAGUUUGCCUUGCUAAGUUUCGGACUUCCUUGGAAGCCAUCACCCCUUGUUUCUUUCCUUUUUCUCCCUUUUGGAUUGGGAAUGUCUACCCUGUGCCUGUCCCGCCAUUGUACUUUGGAAGCACGUAACUUGUCUUCUUCACAGGUUCACAGCUGGAGAGCAAUUUGCCUCCGGAUGAGUUGUACCUUGAGUCUCACCCAUAUCUGACUUAGAUGACAUUUAAAUGAGUCUUUGGACUUUAGACUUCAGACUUAAUGCUAGAAUGAGUUAAGACUUACGGUACUAUUGGGAUGGAAUGAAUGGAUUUUUGCAUGUAAAAAGGAGGUGAAUUUCGAGGAUCCAGGGGCAGAAUGGUACGGUCUGAAUGUUUGUGUCUUCCUCCAGAUUCACAGGUUGAAGCCCAAAUCCUUCCUGUGAUGGUUUAGGAGGUGUGGUCUUGUCAUGGAGGUGAUUAGGUCAUAAGGGUGGAGCCCUCACAAAUGGGAUUAGUGCCUUAUAAGGGAAUGAAGACACCAGAACUCUCUCUCUCUACCAAGUGAAGAUACAACAAAAAGCCAGGAAGUGGGUUCUCACCAGACUCUAGACCUCCUAGCACCGUGACCUGGGAGUUCCCAGCCUCCAGAACUGUGAGAAAUAAAUGUGUGUGGUUUAAGCCUCCCCCUGUGGUAUUUGUUAUAAAAGCCCAAGCUGACUAAGACAAGGAAACGAAGGUACGGACCCAGUCAGUGAGUCACUGAGGUCAUGAUGCCAGCCGAGGGUGGACAGAGGCUCAAGCUCGGUGCUUCCACUCUCAAGUCCAGUGCUGUUUCCUCACACUCCAUGCUGCCAAUUAUGAGCGGCCGAGCACAGGAAGGACUUAUUUCUACCCCUGCGAGCUGUUAAGUAAACCUUAGGAGGUCAGCAGGCUGCAUAAAAAGCAAGACCAGCUGUGCAAUUAAAUAAGGGACGUAAAUGUUAACUAUACAUCUUAAUCGUCAUACAUCCUAUGCUCCCUCACAAUCACGUCAGAGAAUUGCCCAUUGUCAAAUAUUUAACUUACAGGUACACAGUGUCAGGUGAUUAAAGGGAGACUACAGGGUCCUUGCACAGAUUCUUCAGGUGUGCACAUAUACAUUAGUGUGCACACGUGCAUCUGUGUGCACACAUCUGUACUCUCCCUCCUCCCUCCACCGCCCACACCAGUCCUCUCUCAUCUUCAGAAAAUCAUGGGAAAAUUAAUGCCUCCAGAAUUUCAGAGGGAAUUUGGCUUGCCUCCUGGCAAACUGAGGAAAUAAUCCCAAGACUGUGUGUACUUGCAUUCUGCCAUGUUCCAAGGCUACGUUGUUGCCAAAUUAAUUUUACAAAGCUUAAUGAUGUGCAAAGUGUAACAACUGCAUUAACAGAGCAUUAAAAUGUAUUUACAAAUUUAGGAUUUCCUGUGAAGAGUACAUAGCUUUUAGUUGAAACUCAACAAGUAUCCUGUCUAUAAGGUGCCAUUGGUCCUUGACUAUCACUAAAACAUGUAUUUUAUUUAAUUUUUACCUGCAACAUGAAGCAUGGCUAAAAUCAAAGGUAAAAAUAUGAUUUCCUAUGCAAAAAUGUUUGUUCACUAUUUAUAUGGAAGAUUAACCAAGAGCUGAAGUAAAAGGUUUAUUUAUAGAAAAUUCCUCCAGUUGGAAUGAUGUUUCUCUAUAGAUUAGGUUGGAACGGAAUAGUCAAGCUGUUCAAGGUUCUUAAUGUUUAUUUGGGAAAGUCAGUUGCACUGGCGUUGCCACCCUUUGAUGCCACUGCAUUCCCCUGAUGACUGCCAUAAUUAGGCACUUUUUUUCUGGUCUCAGCAGAAGGGCAAGCAGAAAGUUGCCAGCUGCACAACUUAAGCAAUCGAAGAGUUGAUAUGUUUUCUUUGUAAUAUAUGUCACUGGAUAUUAAAUGUGACUUUUCCUAUUGUCUUGAAGUUUUAGCAAUGGCCUUAAAAGGUGAGAAUAGUGCCGAAGAUGCCAGUACCUUUUCUCCUAACAAGAAACAUGAGAUCACAUACGCAGGGCUUUCUGGUUCUGAGGCUUUGCCCAUCAGCAUCUCUGGGCCCCAUAAGAGGCUGAGUCAGGAAUAAGGACUUUUCUGUUGAGAGAGGUCUGUGUGCCUUCCCACCUAGGGGUGAGAGGGGUCUUUGAGCUCCAAGAAAACCACUCAGAGAUCUUGGAGUCUGGAAGGACAUAGAGAUUGGCAAGUGAGUCACAGCUGAGAAGGCUAAGGCUAGCCAUAAUGGCAAAGGAUAGCCCUGCUCACAAUGGGAGAGAAGGCUGUGCUGGGGCUGGCUGGGGUAAGGAUGCUUACACACGGACCCCACGGGAGAGAGCAAGACUGGAUGCCUCAAAAGGGAAGUCCGUAGGCACGAAGUAGCUCCUAUACAAGGGUGUAUUGCAAAUUAUAUAACAUUUAUUUUAAACAGCAUCACUUAUCUAUAGAUAGUGCAUAAUUCAACUAUUAACAAUUUCAAGGGGUGGCAACAGGUGAGAAAAAAAGAGCUAAAUGGGAAAAAAAUGAGUCAAGCUCAUUCAGGGUAGUGAAGCAAGUCCAUUUGAUUAAAUCCUUUUCCUUAAUGCUCAGCCAAAAAUGCUUGCUCUGAGAAAGAGGGAGCAUGAAUAUUGUUUCCUUAUGAAACAUUUUCCUCAAUAUUUUAUAUGAAAUAUAGUAGUAUUGAUUAUGUCUAUGUUUCAUUAAUCGUCUUUUUAUUGGACAUCAGAUAUUCCAACACAACGAUCCAAUAGUGUUUAAGCUGACUUGCUGAUUUCACAUGCAUUUCAUUAUAUGACACUCCCUCCUAAAUACUGAGAAUGUUCGAUGAGAAGGGAUGGAUUUUAUUUCCAAAUUUCUCCCAAUACUUCAGCUAGGUCAACACAUCACAGACUUUGAAGUAUUAAUGGAGCGUGGAGGGAAUAAAAAGUGACAGAGGAGAGCUUGACUCUCAAGGGCAACAAAACAUGAAAUUGCAGCAUAAGAGAAGCAAACUCCCACUUUCUUAGAGAUUAAGGAAUCAAAUGCGGCAAAGGAAGAAAUUUGUGGGGAGGGGAGAAAGACACAUUUUUCCGUAUUGAAAUAUCUAAAUGUUUAAUUUCCUUCUAGAACUGCAACUCUCUAGACUUAUUGUCUUCAAAAUUAAGACAGAGACAUUAGCCAUUCAAGAAGAAUUUAUUAUGCUUAAAAUGUGAAUUAAUCUUGAAUAGAUUACAUAAUUGGGCUAACCAUUUAUUUUAAGGGAAGACUUAAGAGUUAACUUCAUGACCUACGGAAACACAGAAACAAUCAACAUUAAGGAAGUUCUGCUGCCAGGCAUAUCACUUGCAUAAGCAUGGGUUUUGGUGGGGAAUUCUGCCCUGCAGCUCAUUUUUGAUUCUUCUCUGUGCUGGCAUGAUGGAAUAGACAGGAAAUUUACAGACUGGAGUUGUCAUUCUUCUGUGCCUAUCAUGAACUCCUGUUAGCCAUUUGAGAUAAAAAAGUCUGUUCUUCCUCAUCUAAAAUGUUUUGAACGUGUUGAUUCUGUCAGCAUCCAGAGUUGACCUAACAUUUAUUAUUAAUUAAUCACUCUCGAUUGAAAUGGCUUCUAAGUGGCAGCCAGUUAUUUAUUUCUUGGUCCAUCAGAGAUUGUGAAGUAAUAAGAGCAGGUUCUUCUCUCUAGCUGAUGUCACCUAACAGGGAUAAUCCACAGAGUUCUUGAGGAAAGACUUUGGUUUUCUGUUUGAGGCAUACAAUUAAGAUAUAGAAUAUUUAUGUAGUUUAUCCAUUGGGCUAUCACAAAUACUGUGUUUGCAAAUGGAAUGUUCAUGGUUUUAUUGUAGGAGGUAGUUGGAGGGUCACGCCGACACCACCACAGUGGGAAUAUGGAGGCCCAUGACUGAUGAGGGAUAACGAGAUGUCUAGGACACCUGGGGCCAGCCUCAUAAACUUGCUGGACUACAGAUCCCUCCUUUGGAUUACGGGAUCCAGCGUUGGGACCCACUAACCACCAGCUGGAAUGGACUGUGGAAAUGCCUGCUGUACUAAGUAAAAGGGGAGAAGUCAAGAAAUUUGCACAAGGGAGUGAUAGGAUCAGACCAAGAAUUUGAAAGAAUACUUAUGGCCGUGAUGCAGACAAUGGACUGGGAGCUGAGACAGGUAUUGGAACGGCUUCUGACCCAGUUUUGGUUCCCCAGGCGAGGACUUGAACCAAGGCAAUGGCAGUGGGCAUGAAAGAAACGGGGAGGAUUAAAAAGACUUUGCAGAGAGAGAAUCCUCAUGACUGGAUGUCAUUUUGCAGAUGCUAUUUCCUCUGAUCAUAAUAUCCUCUCAUCAAGUAAAAUUCCCCUCCUGCAAGCUAGGGCUUUAUAUAUGUCCCAAGAAACCAUCUCUGACCCUAUUGUUUGAGUAACACCCCCAUCGCCCGUGUUCCUGUGUCAUCCUCUGCUGUGCAUUCCACUCUUGUGACCUUUGCCACCUCACAUAGAACAUAAUGAUCUCUGAUAUUAUCUGCCCUCCUCAAGUUAGGAACUCCUUAAAGAAACACACUCUGCCCUUUGUCACAGCAGUCCCACGGUAGUCAUUAGAGCCGGUCUCUAUUCUGGUUUGCCGUCUGCGGGGUGCAUGUUAAGGUUGUACUUCCUGUUCCCUUGUGGUUGGGUGAGGCCAUGUGACAAAUGAGGGCCAAUUUAAUGUCUACAGCAGACCCUCCAAAGACUUCUUCCCCUCUGCCAUAAAACUCUCGUGGGUCCUUCUUGGAGUGAAGGUAAGUUGGAGCAGUUAUCACAACUCACAGUGGACGCGAAUGUGAAAGAAACAAAAACUGUCUGUGUAAAUCCCUGAGACUUUAGGCUUCCUUGUUUUGCUGCAUAACUCAGCCUCUCCCCACUGACGCACCUUGGAAGCUGGCUCAGUGUCUAGCUGAGAGUACUGCUCUACAUAGAUUUGCUGUGCAAAUGAAGAAAAGAUUUGGUAGCCAAUCAGAUAACGAGUGGAGAAGAAGAAAGGCAUCAAAGGUAACCUUAAGGCUUUUGGUCAGAGGACAAAGGAUAUUGUUAGAUCGUUAGCUCAGCUGGGAAACAGGAAGAGAAGUGGGGCAAGAGCGAAUUUGGCUCUGGAGUGGUGGGACGUGAAGUGGGACGUGAGGGACUGGUGGGGUCUCCAUGAGGACUGAUUGGUUCUCUAAGAUUGUCAAGAUUAGGGAUAAAAAUUUUGUGCUCCUUAACUUUAGAUGCCAGUUAAAUUAUGAGAAUAGAUUCAAUGAGCCAUGGAGAUAGUAAAGAACAUGUAAAGAGAAUAAAGGAGGAACAGUGAAAAAUGCCUACAUUUAAGGGUAGGGGUCAAAGGUGAGGGAGCAACAAAAGAGAAAGAAUAAAAGGGUAAUGGAAGCUAAGAAAGAGAGAAUGUAAAAACAAAUGGCUUUACAAUGGAAUGCCACGCUAAAACGAAAUAAAAUAGGAAGAACAUUAGGAAGAGGUGAUGGAAUUUUACGACCAGGAGGUCCAGGGUGUCUUCUGAGCUAGGAACAAAGAACAUUGCGAUGAAUAUCAGUAUAAAUAGAGCUGGUCAAGUCAGAUACUACUUGCCUGAUUCCAUUAUUGCACCAUGUUUUGACUUGAGAUCCCUGAGCAUUUCUGGUUCUCUGAGGCCACUGUCUCUUGUCCUCAGCCCCACUCUGGUUUAUUAAAUGCAGUUGUGGAGGGUUGGGAGGCAAAGACACACCUGCUGCUUUGGACUGAAAGUUAUCUGGACCUGGUGAAAGUUACUCUCCUUGCUUCCCAGAAGACUUGCUUAAUUCCAAAUGGUGGGCAACAUCGUGCAGAGUUAGUUGCCCAAAGUGUCCUUUUGGUCAAGAAGAAUACUAGUACAUUCUCAUUUGCUCGUUCAGCAACAUCUGUUCAGCACCUACUAUGAUAAUGGAUAAGAUUAUCAUCUGAAACUGGAAUAAUUGAUGUGGAUCACAGCUCACUGACAUAAUUUUUUUAUUCUUCAGUAAUGAGAAGUGUGUGCUAUCUAAUUUCACCUUUUAAGCUCUACGUCAAUCAGCUUAACAUUGUAAAACAGAUGAUUUCUAUAUCCCGGUGUUUAUUUAGUACACACAAUUUUUCACAGACUGCUUUUACGUGGGGAGUAGCGGAGAGGAAAAUCCAGCAUGGCUGCUUUCCACCCAGAACCUUACAAGGUUAACUUGCUUCUUUGGAUUUUCAUGGCUUAUCAUAGUGUGCGAAUUGAUCAUUCAGAUCAUUGUAUGUUAAAAUCAACAGCCACAGUCCAAAAAUCAUGUGGCUGAGGUCCUGGAGCAAAUGAGCUUUGAGACUUUGCUUUUUGAAUCCCUGAUGGGGCAGGUCGAUGACUCUGCAUUUGCUCCCCUCACAGAUAGACUCCAGUUUCCCCAGCCCCACUUUUAGAAAACCAGUCUUUUGUUGAAUUUACAGUUUCUUGUCUGUUGACAUACAAAGUUUCAAAUUCCAAUAUCUUUUACUAUGCUGAACUGAGAGAACACCAUGAAACAAAUGCCUUUUAUUAGAAAACGCAUUUUACGUGUUGGAGAAGAGAGCGGCGCCUGUGUCAUUUCACAAGGUCCUUUCACGAGGAAGAUGAAUUAGGGAUCUUGAGAGAAAAUUGACAUCAGCAAGAAGGUUAGCUAAGGGACUCUUAUAAAGAAGAUUAAAUUACAGAGUAUAGUGUGUCCUGAUUUAUCCUCUCAUGUUCUACAUUCAACUAUGAAAUCAUUUCAAGGAAAAAAUUCAGAUAGAUGAGCAAGACAAAUAUACAGAGCUAAGACUGCCCUCUGGUGUUUAUUCUGACACAUAGACAGAAAGGAAAAAGCCCCGGAAAAUUUGAUAGCAUUGUUUUCUGACUUAAAAUUAUAGAAACUAAAGAUGGGGGGAAAAAAAUCUCCCUUUCCAGUAAUUUAUAGUUUCUCAGUGAUUCCAUCCGAAAAAACAGAAUAAGAGAUGAGGUUUUCAAGUAGUCACCUCUAAGAGAAACGUAUUAGCUCUCUCUGAUCUUUACUUGUUAUGGUAUUAUUUUGUUUUAAAAAUAGGCCUCGUAUGGGAAAUCUCUGUCUCUCCUGCUCAUUUUUGCUGUCAACCUAAAACUGCUCUAAAAAUUGAAGCCUAUUAGAGAAAACAGUCCUCGUGGUCUUAAAUGAUGUUUGAAAUAGAUGAAUCUCAAUGUGGCUCCAGAGAUGGAAUGAAACUGAUUCUGGUUCACUUCCCUUUAUUGAGGACAGGACUGGGGUUCUGGAUCCUUCUUGCAAAAUUUAAUAAAUUGCUUGUAGCUCAGAAGACUACAGGCACCUCAUGACAGUCAUAUUUCUAGAUCUAUAGUGUUUUCUAAUAUGGUCAAAAGGCAGACACCCUGCUAGUGAUUGUAAGACAUCAACUAGGUGAGAAACUCAGUUGUUAUUUCCCACCUUUUCUGGUUGUCGUUUUUGGAAGGCUCUUGUUGAGAGGGUACCAGAUGGUCCAAUCCCGUUGUUCCGUGCACGGAGAGACAAUGGAAAUCCCUGGGCAAAUCAUUUCUAUCCAUCCUACAGGCUGUUUGAUCAUGUUUUCAGGAUAGUACUCUUCCUUCUUGAUUGUAUGUAAUUUGUAGGCUGGGAGGAUCCGGGCCAAUACGGCCCACAGCGUCCACAAAGGGGAGCGCUCUCAUCCAAGCAUCAGUCACUCCGGGCUAAGUUCAAAUAAGCCAGGUUGGGGUUUUUAGUUUAGAGAUAAAGACUCAAUUGGGAAGGCAGAAUGAGAGCGAGCUGCUGGAGUUCUCUGUACCCUGCUGGUCUCUCUCUGGCUUGUUGGACUCAAAAUAGCAAAGGUGAAUCGUUUAGCAAAUAGAUAGCUGAAUGAUGGCACGAAGAGCAACAAGAAGCACUCCACAUUCUGGUGGAAUACGGGUUCUCUUUACUUCGGGAAUAAUCUGGUCUUUCUUUGGUAAACACGGUGCUACAUUAGGGUAGUGAGAGAAUCAGAGAUGACACAGGGGAGCACUGGCUUGCCUCUCCAAGCAGAGGAACAGAAUUUCCUAGCUUUUCAUCUCAGCAUCUAUACUGCCUUGCAUCACUGGGCUUUGACGGUAGAAUCCACCCCGUGAGAAUAACAGCAUAUUUGAAACCAAAUAAGGAACCCAUAAAAAAGUCCUGGAACCCAACUCUGACCAUUUGACAUUUAAAUCUACUUCGACUGCAGAGGUGCGGCUGUUGACAUAGACACAGAGGGACAUACAACUUGAUAUUUUUCAGCAGAGAGACGGACCGACCUCUGUGAGCUGCACACACGCUCUCCGUUGUCUCCCCAUGGUUAAUCAUGCUGACUGUCUGGGGAGCCACAGGGUCUUGAGGUCCCCUACAGACUCUAGACCUGGGAAAUUGUAUCAAUUUAGUUGAAAGAUUAACUAGUAAAUUAGUUCAAAAAUAUUAUUCAGCCCUAAAAAAGAAGGA